rnacentral:rRNA from 1 species
GAUGAACGCUGGCGGCGUGCCUAAUACAUGCAAGUCGAGCGAACAGACGAGGAGCUUGCUCCUCUGACGUUAGCGGCGGACGGGUGAGUAACACGUGGAUAACCUACCUAUAAGACUGGGAUAACUUCGGGAAACCGGAGCUAAUACCGGAUAACAUGUUGAACCGCAUGGUUCAACAGUGAAAGACGGUUUUGCUGUCACUUAUAGAUGGAUCCGCGUCGCAUUAGCUAGUUGGUAAGGUAACGGCUUACCAAGGCAACGAUGCGUAGCCGACCUGAGAGGGUGAUCGGCCACACUGGAACUGAGACACGGUCCAGACUCCUACGGGAGGCAGCAGUAGGGAAUCUUCCGCAAAGGGCGAAAGCCUGACGGAGCAACGCCGCGUGAGUGAAGAAGGUCUUCGGAUCGUAAAACUCUGUUAUUAGGGAAGAACAAAUGUGUAAGUAACUAUGCACGUCUUGACGGUACCUAAUCAGAAAGCCACGGCUAACUACGUG